AUUGAACGCUGGCGGCAGGCCUAACACAUGCAAGUCGAACGAGUGGCGGACGGGUGCGUAAUGUCUGGGAAACUGCCAGAUGGCGGGGGAUAACUACUGGAAACGGUAGCUAAUACCGCCUACCAUCGGAUGUGCCCAGAUGGGAUUAGCUAGUAGGUGGGGUAACGGCUCACCUAGGCGACGAUCCCUAGCUGGUCUGAGAGGUGGACCCGCCACACAGGAACUGAGACACGGUCCAGACGCGUACGGGAGGCAGAAGUGGGGAAGAUUGCACAAUGGGCGCAAGCCUGAUGCAUCCAGGCGGCGUGUAUGAAGAAGGCCUUCGGGUUGUAAAGGACUGUCAGCGAGGAGGCGUUACUCGCAGAAGAAGCACCGGCUAACUCCGUGCCAGCAGCCGCGGUAAUUC
rnacentral:rRNA from 1 species